AUGGAAAAGCGCCAACUAUCCCUAGCUGAGUUCAACCCGAGGAAGCUUCUGAAACAGAGGAUUAUCGGUCUUGCGGCCGUCGAGCGUGCGCGUCGUCGCCAAGCUUCUCGGAUAACAUGGCUCAAGGCCAGAGAUGCAACCACUGCUUUCUUCACUACAAAGGCCUGCUCAAGGAGGAGAAAAAAUUUCAUUCACUCUCUGCGAUCUGAAGAUCAUGUGGCGAUCGAGCAUGAAGAGAAGGUUGCCACCAUUUAUGAGCAUUUCAAGAAAAUCAUGGGAGCUACUGACCCCAGGAAAUGCACCGUUAACUGAGAAGCUCUAAACCUGCCAACAAUCCAAGCUGAUGGACUUGAUGCUCCUUUCACUGAAGUGGAAGUUUGGAAAAUGAUCAUUGAAUCCCCGGCAGAAAAAGCCCCAGGGCCUGACGGUUUCAGCGGACAAUUUUUCAGAAGCUGCUGGGACAUCAUAAAAGAUGAGGUGAUGGCAGUGUUCAACCAGUUCCACAGCCUAUCCAGGGCAAACUUCGACAAAAUCAACUCUGCUUUUGUGGCCUUGCUGCCUAAGAAAGAUGGAGCUGAAUCCGUGGGAGAUUUUCAGUCAAUAAGCCUCAUCAACUCAAUUGCAAAGCUCAUCACCAAAGUGCUCUCGAUAAGAUUGGCAGAGAAAAUCUCACCGAUCAUUUCGCCAGCUCAGAGCGCUUUUCUCAAGUCAAGAUGCCUGCAAGAUAAUUAUCUCUAUGUCAGGAACUCAGUUCGAUCGUUGCACAAAAAAAAGAAGCCUGCCUUGCUGAUUAUACUGGACAUUGCUCGAGCUUUCGACUUGGUCUCCUGGGAGUUUAUGUUUGAACAGUUACAGCAGCUUGGUUUUAGCAGCCGCUGGAGGGACUAG
rnacentral:rRNA from 1 species